rnacentral:tRNA from 1 species
UAUUAGCUCAGGUGGUUAGAGCGCACCCCUGAUAAGGGUGAGGUCCCUGGUUCGAGUCCAGGAUGGCCCACCUGAUAAGUAAUUAGUAAUUACUAGUUCGUAAUUCGUAAUGAAAAAAUUAGGAAUUAGGAAUUAAGAAUUAAGAAUUAUUUUGAUGGGGGUUUAGCUCAGUUGGUAGAGCGCCUGCUUUGCAAGCAGGAUGUCAGCGGUUCGAGUCCGCUAACCUCCACCUAAAAAGAAAAAAGCAAAAGGGAAAAACAGCACCUAUCGAGAGAGAUAGAAUGCUGGAUGUAUCCAGCCAGAACCUUGAAAACUGCAUAGAAACGCGAUUAAUAGCAGGCAGUCAAAAAGUCAAAAGUAGAAAGUCAAAAGGCAAAAAAGCCAAAAGACAGGAAACAAAAGACAAAAGAUUGCAUGAUAAAGCCAAUUAAAGUUGUCAUUUUAUUUUAAUUUCU